rnacentral:lncRNA from 1 species
GCUUCGAAACAACAACGCACAUCACCGUUCCCGGUUUCACAUAGACUCACUCUUCCGCCUACCGCCUCUACUUCACACACAUUAUACCUCAGCUCCUCCUUCACCGAAAGAACCUAAUCACACUAUUUACCAUACUCUUUCUCUACGGUUGACCUCCUCCUUUCAUUUUUACAACUAAACAAUCUCUAUCCCCUACCCUGUGUUUUCACAUUCCUGUCAUCCGCCUCACCUUUCCUCCCUCCGCCCUUAUAAACAUUAUAUCCACCAUUCUCCGCCUCUCUACUCCUUCGAAAUCGGCAAUCAACCAGAUAGAAAUUCACACCAUAUCGCCAUACAAAGUCUGAAAUUCAGAAUUUAUUUACCUUCAGUCUCCAUCUUCUCCUAGCUCGGUAAGAUCUUCUUCACUCACACGCUUCUUCUACUUUCGCUCUCGAUCUCUCCUUCAAUUUCUUCACUCUCCCUCCUUCCCUGUCGAUCGACCUCUCUCUCUUUUCCCUCUUUUUCUGUUUUUUUUUUUUUUUACUCAACCCAUCCUUAUUUUUAUAUAUGUCCCUUCCCAUCCAAUCUUAGCCCUUCAUCCUCCUGUCAUUCCAAUCCUCACCGUCCACUUAGGACCAUACGUUACCGGUGGGAAGAGUGGGGCUAGGCUAUGGGCUUGGGUCUUUUGGAUUGGGCCGAAUAAGACAUUAGGCUAGCUGGGUGUUACAAUAGUAAUACAAAAUAAAUAUAAUCUUGCACUAUAAUUAAUACAUUACAAUUAAUCAAAAUUGAUAAAGUUACUGGAAAAUAAGUUUAUUUGUAAAAUAUAGGAAUUUUUUGUUCUUAAAGUUUCAAAUAAUUAUAUUGGGUGUGUCCUAUUGAUAUGUUGCAUAGUAACACACUCCUACUACAUAGGGGUUGUUUAUCGAGAUGUGUUAAAAGAAAUAUAUGGAAUAACAAAACUUCUUAACCAUACACAUAAUGCACUAUAUUGGAUAUGGUAUAUAACAACACAUCCCUAUUAUAUAGAUAAAACAUAUAUUUUUUGUUUUUUUAAUUUUAAGUAUAUGUUAACUAUUAAUUGGUUAUUUUAUUUCAAUUAUCUUGAUUUUCAAUACUAUAUAAUUUAAAUAUUUAAUGUAUUUUUUAUUUUUAAUAUUUAUCAAUGUAAUUCAUAUAAUUUAAAUAAAUUUAUUUUCAAGUUUGGAAAUUAUAAAUUUUUUAAUUUAUUCGACUGAUAAAUAAAUAAAUCCAGACCCGCUUAAUAACUGAUGUAAUUUUAAUAACUAUGCAUCUAAAUCUUGCCUGACAAAAGCUCAUCUAACGGUUAAUCAUGACAUUAAUUAAUUUGAGUUAAAUUAAAUCGACAUAAUGCAAAUUUAAAACCACCGUUUUAUUACUCGACUCGCAUGUGGUUUAAUUACAAAUAAACAUAUCAAAUUAUCAAACAGCAAACUCAUCAAAUUCAAAAAUGGAUUCAUCAACAGCAAUCAACAAGCACCGUAUCCUCCUGCUGCUGUUAAUCCUUGCGGGACAAAAGUACGAACAGGUGGCGAGCUAUUACUUCGGGAAAGUGGAAGUGGCGGUU